rnacentral:rRNA from 1 species
GAUGAACGCUAGCGGCAGGCUUAAUACAUGCAGGUCGAGGGACAGCACAGGUAGCAAUACUGGGUGGUAACCGGCAAACGGGUGCGGAACACGUACACAACCUUCCUUUAAGUGGGGGAUAGCCCAGAGAAAUUUGGAUUAAUACCCCGUAAUAUAGUUGAAUGGCGUCAUUUGAUUAUUAAAGCUACGGCGCUUAAUGAUGGAUGUGCGGCUGAUUAGAUAGUUGGCGGGGUAACGGCCCACCAAGUCUACGAUCAGUAGCUGAUGUGAGAGCAUGCACAGCCAAACGGGCACUGAGACACGGGCCCGGCUCCUACGGGAGGCAGCAGUAAGGAGUAUUGGUCAAUGGACGCAAGGCUGAACCAGCCAUGCCGCGUGAAGGAUUAAGGUCCUCUGGAUUGUAAACUUCUUUUAUUUGGGACGAAAAAGGGCCUUUCUAGGUCAACUGACGGUACCAGAUAAAUAAGCACCGGCUAACUCCGUGCCAGCCGCCGCCGUAAUAC